CCUACGGGCGGCAGCAGUGGGGAAUAUUGGACAAUGGGGGCAACCCUGAUCCAGCUAUGCCGCGUGUGUGAAGAAGGCCCUCGGGUUGUAAAGCACUUUCAGUGAGGAAGAACGCCUGGUGGUUAAUACCCAUCAGGAAAGACAUCACUCACAGAAGAAGCACCGGCUAACUCCGUGCCAGCAGCCGCGGUAAUACGGAGGGUGCGAGCGUUAAUCGGAAUUACUGGGCGUAAAGCGCGCGUAGGUGGCUUGAUAAGCCGGUUGUGAAAGCCCCGGGCUCAACCUGGGAACGGCAUCCGGAACUGUCAAGCUAGAGUGCAGGAGAGGAAGGUAGAAUUCCCGGUGUAGCGGUGAAAUGCGUAGAGAUCGGGAGGAAUACCAGUGGCGAAGGCGGCCUUCUGGACUGACACUGACACUGAGGUGCGAAAGCGUGGGUAGCAAACAGGAUUAGAUACCCUUGUAGUC
rnacentral:rRNA from 1 species